GACGAACGCUGGCGGCGUGCUUAACACAUGCAAGUCGAACGGAAAGGCCCUGCUUUUGUGGGGUGCUCGAGUGGCGAACGGGUGAGUAACACGUGAGUAACCUGCCCUUGACUUUGGGAUAACUUCAGGAAACUGGGGCUCAUACCGGAUAGGAGCUCCUGCUGCAUGGUGGGGGUUGGAAAGUUUCGGCGGUUGGGGAUGGACUCGCGGCUUAUCAGCUUGUUGGUGGGGUAGUGGCUUACCAAGGCUUUGACGGGUAGCCGGCCUGGGAGGGUGACCGGCCACAUUGGUACUGCGAUACGGCCCAGACUCCUACGGGAGGCAGCAGUGGGGAAUAUUGCACAAUGGGCGGAAGCCUGAUGCAGCAACGCCGCGUGCGGGAUGACGGCCUGCGGGUUGUAAACCGCUUUCGCCUGUGACGAAGCGUGAGUGACGGUAAUGGGUAAAGAAGCACCGGCUAACUACGUG
rnacentral:rRNA from 1 species